rnacentral:rRNA from 1 species
UGGCUGUUCGCCAUUUAANGUGGUACGCGAGCUGGGUUUAGACGUCGUGAGACAGUUCGGUCCCUAUCUGCCGUGGGCGCUGGAGAACUGAGGGGGGCUGCUCCUAGUACGAGAGGACCGGAGUGGACGCAUCACUGGUGUUCGGGUUGUCAUGCCAAUGGCACUGCCCGGUAGCUAAAUGCGGAAGAGAUAAGUGCUGAAAGCAUCUAAGCACGAAACUUGCCCCGAGAUGAGUUCUCCCUGACUCCUUGAGAGUCCUGAAGGAACGUUGAAGACGACGACGUUGAUAGGCCGGGUGUGUAAGCGCAGCGAUGCGUUGAGCUAACCGGUACUAAUGAACCGUGAGGCUUAACCUUACAACGCCGAAG